rnacentral:rRNA from 1 species
GAUCCUGGCUCAGGAUGAACGCUGGCGGCGUGCUUAACACAUGCAAGUCGAACGAAGCACCUUGAUUUGAUUCUUCGGAUGAAGAUCUUGGUGACUGAGUGGCGGACGGGUGAGUAACGCGUGGGUAACCUGCCUCAUACAGGGGGAUAACAGUUAGAAAUGACUGCUAAUACCGCAUAAGACCACAGCACCACAUGGUGCAGGGGUAAAAACUCCGGUGGUAUGAGAUGGACCCGCG